rnacentral:rRNA from 1 species
GAGUUUGAUCUUGGCUCAGAUUGAACGCUGGCGGCAUGCCUUACACAUGCAAGUCGAACGGCAGCACGGGAGCUUGCUCCUGGUGGCGAGUGGCGAACGGGUGAGUAAUGCAUCGGAACGUAUCCUGGAGUGGGGGAGUAACGUAGCGAAGUUAACGCUAAUACCGCAUAUUCUGUGAGCAGGAAAGCGGGGGACCGUUCGGGCCGUCGCGCUCUUGG